ensembl:lncRNA
CUUCUCCCUUCUCGUCUCUCUCUCCUUUACCUCUCUCUUCCUCUCUCUCUCUUUCUUUCUCUCCCUCCCUCCUUNNNNNNNNNNUCAGCCCAUUGUUCGCCGGACUUUCCGCAGCAGCCUUGCGUCUGGCUCCUGGGAGAAGCGGAAAAUAGAAGGCAGCUUUUGUGUGCUCCACGACUUUCCCUUGCAGUCAACUUCCCCGGAGCAGACCGUGACAGAUAGAUGCAUAUGCCAAUAGGGACCAGAUCCAUGCGUACAAAACCUACAUAGAGUGCAGCCAUAUAGCCAGCGGCAUGUAAUAAUGCAGAUUAUAGCAUACCCCCGGUUGCUGACUUCUUGGGUUUAAUACCCGUAGUACAAGGGGUCCGCUCUGAAGGAAGUCUGCGCGCGAUCAAUCUUAUUCGCCAAAAGGUCUGACAGCUCCUGGCCCUUGACAACACAUUGGGAGAUUCUUGCUCUUUCCAAGACCAAAUGUUGCCGAGAAAUGAGGGAAGAGCAAGAAACGCAAGAGGACGAAGGAGGAGACCAGAUUCAGAAAAUGGGGGAAAAUAUACCAAAUCCUGGGAAGAAGGUCCAUGCGUGAAAGCUGCCACUGACUGUCCACCAGCCCACGGAAGGAGAAGGCUUGGCGAUCGGCUACUGCCUACUCUCCCUUCACGUUCAGCCCCCUUUGUGAGCAUGAACUACCGUAGUUACCGAAAAACUGCCUCAAACCUCAGAGGCGAUUUAUGAUGGACUGUCUCUUCCAGGAGUGAUUAACGACAUGGGAAGCCAUAAAAGACUGACUGUAUUUCGAAUUUGCCCCUUGGAAACGGCGUCCCGCCGCCUCUUAUUUGGAUGCCUAGCUCCGCUGGCCUGUAUUUAAAGCAACCCCCGCACAAUGUAACAGCCUUUAGCUUCUUUCUUCUGACCCUGGGAGGGAAAGUGUGGGAGUAGAGAGGUCCCCAGUGCCAAAGAGAGGAACGUCUUUCUCCUUUGAGCUGCCUUGGAGGAGAGAGACGUUGAGGCAGGAGAAGGGGAGAGAUACACCGAGGGAGAAAGGGAAAG